rnacentral:lncRNA from 13 species
AUGUCACAAUACAUGGUACAGAUCAAGAAAUGCGAGGGAGAAGAUCCAUGCUGGUACUGCUUAAUGAAUCCUCCAUGCUGGUACUGCUUAAUGAAUCCUCCAUGCUGGUACUGCUUAAUGAAUCCUCCAUGCUGGUACUGCUUAAUGAAUCCUCCAUGCUGGUACUGCUUAAUGAAUCCUCCAUGCUGGUACUGCUUAAUGAAUCCUCCAUGCUGGUACUGCUUAAUGAAUCCUCCAUGCUGGUACUGCUUAAUGAAUCCUCCAUGCUGGUACUGCUUAAUGAAUCCUCCAUGCUGGUACUGCUUAAUGAAUCCUCCAUGCUGGUACUGCUUAAUGAAUCCUCCAUGCUGGUACUGCUUAAUGAAUCCUCCAUGCUGGUACUGCUUAAUGAAUCCUCCAUGCUGGUACUGCUUAAUGAAUCCUCCAUGCUGGUACUGCNNNNNNNNNNUACUGCUUAAUGAAUCCUCCAUGCUGUUACUGCUUAAUGAAUCCUCCAUGCUGGUACUGCUUAAUGAAUCCUCCAUGCUGGUACUGCUUAAUGAAUCCUCCAUGCUGGUACUGCUUAAUGAAUCCUCCAUGCUGGUACUGCUUAAUGAAUCGUCCAUGCUGGUACUGCUUAAUGAAUCCUUCACGCUGGUACUGCUUAAUGAAUCCUCCAUGCUGGUACUGCUUAAUGAAUCCUCCAUGCUGGUACUGCUUAAUGAAUCCUCCAUGCUGGUACUGCUUAAUGAAUCCUCCAUGCUGGUACUGCUUAAUGAAUCCUCCAUGCUGGUACUGCUUAAUGAAUCGUCCAUGCUGGUACUGCUUAAUGAAUCCUUCACGCUGGUACUGCUUAAUGAAUCCUCCAUGCUGGUACUGCUUAAUGAAUCCUCCAUGCUGGUACUGCUUAAUGAAUCAUUCACGCUUGCCAGAAGAACAAUUUAUGAAAUGAAGGUUUGUGCCUGAUCCAACAUUGACAGCAGACAGACGUGAGCACCAGAAAUGUGAUGAUCUGUACAGCUUGGACACCACUGACAAGGAUAGGCCUUCUCUGACACCAAAUAUUAAACAUGUAAAGAGGAGUGCUGCCAUGGUCAGUGCAAAGGUGAGAGCGACCAUCAACUGUGUUGAAUGUGAACAACCAAGGUGCUUGUAUGCCAAAAGCAAGCUGUCUAAAGAUGAACAGAAAAGCAGUCAAACGCAUUCGGGAUGAGAACAUUUUUACAUGUGGUUCAGAGACUUUCCAAGAAGACAAUCCAUAUCAUGAGCAGAUAGUGGCUUUCAAGGGGCUAACCUGUGGAAUGCAAGUGGAGACGCAGAAUUACCCAGCAAUCAGUGUCAUUCCUAGAUAUGUGUGUGUGUCCAUUGUGGAUGUCCAGAUUUUCUUGAGGGGGAAGAGUUGGUGAGGUUCAAACAAUUCCAACAUUUCAGGCCAAUGUGCCCAGUGUAUAAGCAAGAAGGAAAGCAGUUCAUUACGAGAGCUCCAAUAAAUCUUAAAAAUAAAUGAACACCCUAGAGACCAGAAUAAACAACAAAUGAAGGGCUAAACACACUGUGCUGUUGAACAGUAAGAAGCAGCAGGUGAUUGUGCUAUUGCGUCUGACCACAGAACAUUGGCUGUCAUUUUCAUUUCCAGAUGAUUCUACAUUGUUUGUUGACACCCAGUAGGUGAUCUACUGCACACGGCCAACUUUAGUUAUGGUGUCUUGUGAAGCUGUUCUUGAUUUUUAUCAGAUAUUUUUUUAAUCAGGAAAAUAAACUGUCACAAGUUAUACUUCCCAUUGUGUUUAAUUUCUCAUGGUUAUAACAACAUUGCAACAUCUGCAUUCUUUUAAAGAAAAAUAGUGUAGGUUUUUGCGUGGAAUAAUAUAACUCUUGAAGCUCACAUUAGGCCUAGAGCCUGCACAAGUGCCUAGGACAAUGUGGUAAAGUACUGUUAUUCCAUAUAAAUAAAUAAAAAAUUGCUUGCUCGCCUCACUUUUCUAGGGGGAAAAUCCGUUAAAUAGUGAAUACAUUUUGUCUGUCCUAACCAUACUAUUUGUGACAAAUUUAGUAUGUUUAUUGGUCAUAGUAUGGAUAUAGUUAGUAUGCCAAAAGUUCCAGAAUGUCAUACAUUUGCAAAAAUACAAAGUAUACAAGCAGUGGACACUAUUUCCUUGCUUUUGGGGCCCAUAAUGCAAUACUUCAGAAAAUGGGCGUGGCUUUAAAACAUUUUAAGAUUUGAAGAAAAUGGCAGAAAAUAUGCAGCCAAAGUCCGACGAGAGCGGAUACAUAUUUAUUGCUUGAACAAUGUAAUAAAGUAAUGCCUUUUCAAAUUAGUUACAUUACACGUUAUGUUGUCUGACAAUUUGUUAGCUACGCUAGCCUUACGAACCGCAUAGCAUAUUAUUACAGCAGUUGCUUGUAUGUACCGGUAUGUUUGCUAGCUACAGUCCUAACGUUAACGUAAACUCACCCCAUUCCGUACAAAUGUGCGCAACCGCAACAUUCAAACGAGGCUACAAAGAAAGCUAAUGGGACUGUAGCGACUGUGUUGACUUCAAAAUCGGGGGUGUGAACUACGUUUCUAUUCAAGCGUUGAUCGACAUGGUAACGGCUCUAUAGUAUUGGAGAAAAGUUUUUAAAAAUUGACCCUCCGUUACAUCGUGACGUGUCAUGUCGUAACGUACAGCACGCAUAAAGCAACUAUUUCUGUCUUACAAUCUCUCUCCACCAGGUGUAGUACUUCUCUCAUCCUUUGGAAACAAGAAAUGGACAGUGACGGGAGUAAGGGGGAAUACCUAGUCAUUUUUUGCGUCAUCACUGCAUGUGAUCAUGACUCUCAAAGCCGCUGUUUACUUCUGAAGAUUCGACACAAACCUUCAAAUAGGUAUGUAAUGACACAUUAUAUAAACUCUUUAUGGUGUUUUAUUUACAUUUUAGAGGCGAUAAGGUGAUAAGUUGGACAGAUCGGUUGAAAAAAAGCAAUUUUCCCACACAACAUCUCUCGUUCUCACUAUCACGCAUUAGUUUCCCUUCCCCACCCGCCAUUUUUAAAA